rnacentral:rRNA from 1 species
UACGUAGGGUGCGAGCGUUGUCCGGAACUACUGGGCGUAAAGCGCACGCAGGUGGCUGAGUAAGUCGAUUGUGAAAGCCCUGGGCUUAACCUGGGAAUUGCAGUCGAUACUGCUCGGCUAGAGUAUGGGAGAGGGUAGUGGAAUUCCCGGUGUAGCGGUGAAAUGCGUAGAUAUCGGGAGGAACAUCAGUGGCGAAGGCGGCUACCUGGCCCAAUACUGACACUCAGGUGCGACAGCGUGGGGAGCAAACAGG